rnacentral:rRNA from 1 species
GACGUAGGGGGCAAGCGUUGUCCGGAAUCAUUGGGCGUAAAGCGCUCGUAGGUGGAUCGGUAAGUCUGCAAAGAAAGACCCGGGCUCAACUCGGGGAACGGUGUGGAUACUACCGAUCUUGAGGCAAUCAGAGGAUGAUGGAAUUCCCGGUGUAGCGGUGAAAUGGCGUAGAUAUCGGGAGGAACACCAGUGGCGAAGGCGAUCGAUCUGGGGUUGUU